ACAGAGAAUGGGAUAACGAGGCUAUGUCCGAAAGCACACUGUAUAGUUCAGUCGAGAAUCGUCCCGUCAAUAAAGCUCGGAUGAGCACUUGAGAAUCUGAGCGAAGCCAGAUGAAGUUGUAGUUGAGUUCCGAUGCGUGAAUAAGAGCACUUCUCAGCGCCAAUGCCUCAGCCAUGCAAGCAGAGGAGACAUGACUUUGAAAAGCAGAGCCCUUAUCGUAUCACUCUUCCUUCCUGAUCUGUGAAGACCCAUGCUAAACCCGCUUUGCCGGUGUCAGAUCGCCAAGCAGCGUCAGAAUUGCAGAAGACAGUAGCCGGGUUAGGGUUCUGAUAGAGUUGAGGAUUUUCGCUUGUCGAUCCAACAAUCCAUAUGUGCUUAAGCUCUGCUAUAAAUAUGUGUGCCUGGUGAUUAGUAAUGUACACAACAUAUUAUUGUAGAUUUCUCUGUGUCAUGUUGGUUGUCUAUCAUGUGAAGUUCGUCUACUACUAAAUCCAUCGUCUCAAAAAUUGUGUAGUUAAUUGCGGAUAAGAUAAAACGGUGCAAGACAGACUCAUUUGUAGGCCUUGAAUAUGAUAAUGCGGAGAGACCUGAGUGCAACAAUCUCCUCUCCGUAUAUCAGAUUGUUUCAGGCAAGACAAAUGAGGAAGUGAUUGAGGAAUGCGAAGAUAUGAGCUGGGGCACAUUUAAGCCUCUCCUCACGGAUGCUGUGGUCGAGCAUCUGAGUCCAAUCCAGGUCCGUUAUCACGAUAUAACAGCGGAGUCAGCGUAUUUGGACAAAGUAUUGUCAGAAGGCGCGGACAGAGCCACGGAGAUAGCAGAAGUCACAGUUCACAGUUUGAAACAAGCGAUGGGAUUCUAUAUAUGAGGAAUAGUGCUAAUUGUUUCUUAAGUUAAAAGUGAAAAACAGAGGAAAAGUUUUUAACGUGGGUUCGAAACGAUUCUUGAAUUAGUUCAGUCAAAUGCUGAUCAAUAUGCUUGCUUGUUGAAUUAGUUAAGACAAUUUGUCAAUUUGUUGACACUAGCUCUCAUCUUCCCUUUCCAAUCAAAGAUCAAUGCACUCAUGUCAUAGAUAAAAAAAAACAUAUUAUUGUAAAAACCUGUUUGGUCUGAAUAAGAGUUUUACAU